AUGACUAUAUCACAUUUAAAUACUGGUUCCUGUAUGAUCACUGAAGUUAAGCAAUGUUGAGCCUGGUCAGAUCCUAGAUAAGUGACCACUUGGGAAUACCAGGUGCUGUAAGC